rnacentral:rRNA from 1 species
GAUGAACGCUGGCGGCGUGCCUAAUACAUGCAAGUCGAGCGAACAGACGAGGAGCCUGCUCCUCUGACGUUAGCGGCGGACGGGUGAGUAACACGUGGAUAACCUACCUAUAAGACUGGGAUAACUUCGGGAAACCGGAGCUAAUACCGGAUAAUAUAUUGAACCGCAUGGUUCAAUAGUGAAAGACGGUUUUGCUGUCACUUAUAGAUGGAUCCGCGCCGCAUUAGCUAGUUGGUAAGGUAACGGCUUACCAAGGCAACGAUGCGUAACCGACCUGAGAGGGUGAUCGGCCACACUGGAACUGAGACACGGUCCAGACUCCUACGGGAGGCAGCAGUAGGGAAUCUUCCGCAAUGGGCGAAAGCCUGACGGAGCAACGCCGCGUGAGUGAUGAAGGUCUUCGGAUCGUAAAACUCUGUUAUUAGGGAAGAACAAAUGUGUAAGUAACUAUGCACGUCUUGACGGUACCUAAUCAGAAAGCCACGGCUAACUACGUG